rnacentral:rRNA from 1 species
UUAUUGAUUAAUAAUUUUAAGUCAAAUCUGCUCAAUGAAUUUUUAUUUAAAUAGCUGCAGUAUAAAUAACUGUACAAAGGUAGCAUAAUAAUUAGUUUUUUAAUUAAAAAGUUGAAUGAAUGAUUUAAUGAAAUAUAAACUGUAUCAAAUUUAAUAAAUAAAUUUAUUUUUUAAAUUAAAAAAUUUAAAUAAUUUUUAAAGACGAGAAGACCCUAAAGAAUUUUAAUAAUUUUUUUUUUAAAAAAUUUAAUUAUUUUAAUUGGGGAAAUUUUAAAAUUUAAUUAAUUUUUAAUUAACUUAAACAUUUAUUUUUGAAUAAAUUUUUUUUUUUAAAAAUAAAAUUUAAAUUACCUUAGGGAUAACAGCAUAAUUUUUUUAAAAAGUUCAAAUUUAUAAAAAAGUUUAU